ensembl:lncRNA
UCCAGCCGGUAAUGUCACACCGGCUAUUUAUAAAACACUGUACAACAAACCAACACGGACUGACGGACACAUACAGGCGUGCAGCAUCAAGAUGCCGCUGGAUAUUAUUCAUCUCGGUGAUACGGGAAUCUGCAAAGCUAAUGUGCACGUUUGUGGUUGGACUCAAAAUUCCAUUCAAAAGAGCGGCUAUUUAAUGUGGACUCGGCUACUGGCACACCGUUAUUCACCAUCAAAUAUCAUACUAGACACCAAGUUAAUGAGAGCAACAGCUGGGCUAAGGCGGACGCCAGCUGAGCUAACGGAUGGUAACCCCGACAACGAUAACUAUAACGACUCCGCCCGUCCAGGACAGUCAUCAGAUCCAGUUACCAUGGAGAGCAGUUCAUCUCCACCGGCAACACACACGGAUAGUGAAAACUCGGGGCAAAGCCUUUGGGGCGACCAGGAAGCGGAGGAGCACCAUUACACAGAGGUCCAUGGGCUGAAGCAGCCAAUCGGGGACGAGCAGGACGAAGAAGAGGCUGCAGGGAAAGAAAAUGUCGUCAGGGAUGCAGAUGAGUGUGAUUACCUUGUGUUUGCAAUCGGAGAGCGAAAUGGGAAUGAUAAAGGAGAUGAAAGUGGACAGGACACGGGUAGAGGAGGAGAUAAGGUAGAAGAUGGAGAAAGAGGGGAAACAGAAGGAAAGGAAGAAGGAAGUGGAGCUACAGUGAGGGAAGAUGGAGGAAGAGGAGGUGAAAAAGAAGAGGAUGAAUGCAUAGGAGAGACAGUGGGCGAGAUGAGUAAUGAUGCUCCGUCAAAGCUCCUCCUCAUCUCUUGCAGCCCGGAGCGUCUUUCAUCAUCAGAGCCCCUGAUGGUCCCCUCAUGUCCCUCAGAGCAGCCCAUGGAGGCCAUGUUGCAAGAGGCCUUAGGUCACAACAUUGGCGAAAGAGAUGACCUCAGUGACGUCCAGCACACAGGCUUCCCCCAAGCUGAGGUGGCUAGUGUGUACUCGGACAGCGACGCAGGGGACGGCCAGUGGGCUAGCUUUGCACGCUGUGAUGUCACCAACCAGGAAGAAGCAGGCGGAGGAAUUCACAAUACCACCUGUGAAGGAGAGAGCAAGGAAGAGGAGGGAGGAGGAGCCGAUAAGGGGAGAGCCGAAGAACAGUUUGAGGCAGAAGAAGCGAGUGAAACACAGGACCAAAGGGAGGAGGAGGAGGAGGAGGAGGAGGGGAGCAGACACGUGGAUGAUGAAGAGCAGAUGACGUCCAGGAGAGAUCUAUUUCCACGCACACCUUCUGUCAGCUCCACGGGCAGCUCCACAGAGCCUGACAGAAAGGCUCCCGUGGAUCUCUGUGUCCAAGAAGAGGCCCACAGUGGAAACGUCUCCACUGAGCAUGUGGACUUUCUGUUGGCCCGACAGCAGUGGAGGAAGAUGGAGGAGGAGGUCAAAGGUCAGCCAAUCCCCAAACCAGGCCUCAGAGCUCAGGGGAGCUUCCAGGGCACCCACAGCUCCCUGUACCCGCCCACUCGCAGCCCCCGACUCAAACACAGGGAGAUCCAUCCUGCAGCGGCCAUGGAGCCCACGCUGUCCUCCACCCUGUCCUCCACCCUGUCCCCCGGCUCGGAGGACUCGGGCCUGGAGGAGCCGGAGAGUGCAGUGGAGAGAGAGAUCCGCCGGACUCUGGAGAGGGAGGAAUGCCACCGGAGAGAGAGGGGGGGGGUCACACAGGGCCUCACCGUACCCAGAGCCUCCACCGGGCAGAGCGGACGAUCUCCCCCCAGACCUCCAGCGUGCCGCACCCCUACACUGUCCAUCUCCCCUUCUCCUUCCUCUUCUCUUCCCCGAUCUGUCUACCAUGAGAUGACGGCCAAUAAUGUCAUUAUCCUGGAGCCCGGCUGCUCCGGCUCCACCUCCAGAAACCUCUUACUCUCCUCCGCCACCGAUUGGCCGCUUAGCCAGGAUGCUGUGCCCUCCGCCAACGUCAUCGUCGUUGAGACCUCUAACGUGAUCAUUCGCAGCGCAUCCGAAUUCUGUCUAAGCUCCGCCCCCGUGUCCGCGGAGACCCAGGAGAGCACCUUCUCGUCCAAUCCGUUCUUUAAGCUACGCUCCAUCAGCAGCCAAUCGCUGGUGGAGCGGGAGAUCCGCAUGGUGAGGCAGAGGGAGGAGGAAUGGAGGAGGCAGCGGGAGGAGAUGUGGAGGAGGAGGAGGGAGGAGGAGUGGAGGAGAGGGAGAGAGAGGUACGACACCGUGCUGGUGUCUCCUGGCCUGAGCGAUAACAUCAGCUACAACGUGCCAGAGGUCCUAGAUAGAUGUGUGUCCUCUCCUUCGUCCCCCUCCAGGACCCGCAAAAUGGAAAGAUCCAGCAUGUCUUGUGACCACAAGUUCCCCUCAUCCCUCUCUCUGACGCCGAAGCGACCGAACGCCAUGGCGCAGCGAUGGGAGGCCUCCCUAUUAGCCAAUCAGAAGAAGGAGUGACCAUUUCAAAGCCCACAAUGAGAUCCGACGCCUCCGUUCCUUCCUGCUUCUCUCCAGAAAAGUCACACGGUGUACUGUAAGGUCUUUGAAAAGGUGUGGCUUGAACCCGUGGGUCACAGAUGUGCUGUCUGCGGGACGUCCUGUGAGAAGAGGACUGGUCCUGUCCAACAGCUUUGUUUCAAAGAGUAAGGUUUGGCUUUCCUUAAUGCUUGAACGUCUGAAAAGGUCCUGCUUUCAAACUCAAACUGGUCUGCUGCAUGAUCUGUGAAACAUUGGGGCACAAUGCCACACGUAGGACAUUGUUUAUUAUAGAUAAUAACUUCAUUGACUCAUUCACAAUACUAACCGCAGUCAUAGUACCACCACUGUUUUUGACAUGUCAUGCAGACUUCUAUGUAAACUUUAGAAACACAAUAUUUAUUAUUACCAGUAACACAAUUUGAUUUCGAGCUAUUUAUAAAUGAUGGCAAACAGAUAUGCAUUGAGUUGUAUGACUAUGAAAAAGGUCUUGGCAGUUGCAUUUUAAUUUUAGAUAAAGUAUGAAUUUAGUCCCUAUAUUUUUGAUGUGAUGAACAUAUACAGCGUAUAUUUUACCGUAUUGUAGCUGCGUAGGGGUUUGAGAAGUGACAUUCAAAAAUGAUUUAGCAUGUUCUUUACAAAUGACAAUUCAUAGCAUUUAAGUGCCAACUCAGACUGAAAAAAUCACUGCCUUAAGCCGCUGAGAACAGCACACACACACACACACACACACACACACACACAGAAAGACAAAAAAUGAAUCCAUCAUCCAUUUCGCACAUCAUCUCUUUUCCACAAAGGCAAAACACGUAUUCAAGUAUAAAAAAACUGUCCUAUUUUAUGGAAAAUCAUUUUUUAUGGAAAUGUAAGAAUGGAAACUGGCACAUUCUUUCCCCUUGUUAUGACCCGCCCUACUCCGCCUCUGAUUGGCUGCUCAUCGUGGCCUUUGGUUUGGUUGUGAGAUGAUGAAAAACGGUAGAGCCACAGGGACGGAGCCGGUGGCUCAAUUAGCUUACAGCUAACGGAGGUAUAGUUACUUUGUUACUUUAGCGGUAUUUCAAAAUUAUAUAAUUAACUCGAGUAUUCACAUGGCUUUAAAAAAAGCUGUCAAUUCCACAUUUGUAGCCCAAAGGUUUUAUGCGUGGAGCACACUGUUGUUAUUGCUAUAUAACUGUCCGUGGCUGUGAUGUUCAAGCAAUAUAACUGAAGCACUUCUAAAACAGAGAUUCUAAUCCAGUCUAGUGAAGACUUUUACAUAUUUUAUGUCAUGUUUUGAUUCCUAAAAAGAGAAUUGUUUUAUUGAAUUUGUGCUGCAUAUAUUUAUUGAAUCGGGACAAGCUUAUGAAUCCUUAAAGCUUUUAUUUCUAAAAGGUUCAUAAUAUAUUGUGUCAGAAUGGCUGCAUGAAUUGAAGGUCUGCGAUGUUUUUUAGAUGGAUCUUUUCUGUGGAGUGUGUGUGCGUGAUAAUAAUAAUAAUCCAUCCUCAAUACAUCGUACAUAAAUAGAAAUCCUUCCUCCUUAUUUUGUAGCUCCAGAAGGAGCUCACUGGGUUCCUGAUGAACUCAACUGUCUAUUACAGGUGCAUUCAAGUCAACUCAGAAAUAAGAGACUUCACCUGCCAGGUUGCGAAUAAUACCAGGCGAGUAGAAUGCUAGUGGGUUUUUAUGAAUAUAUUCUGAUUGUGCUCUGAGCAUCGAUGUGAUGUAACACUGUGUUAAGGAAUAAACUCUCCAUCCGCUAAUAAAGUGCAUUUCAGCUGUGAGUUCCUGUGCAGCCUGAAGAUGUGUCCAAACAUCUGACGGGGCUACGAUCUAUACUUUCUGCAAUCAAUUUGCAGAGGUUUGGAUGUUCUUGAAAUGUGCUGUAUUGCAUGUGAAAGAAGUCGGUUACAGUGCGUCCACUCUUCACACUGGCUGUUUCUGCCCCAUCUCACCACACCACACCCAGUGGCAAUGUGAGGAAACGGAAAAACUAUAUACUAUAAUAUUGUGUUGGCAGCAGAAGGACAUGAGCAUCAGUAAAUAUUGGCUUUGUGUGUUUUCUUGCACACUCGAGUCACGUCAGAUGGGGUUGGUACGUUGUUACAUUGUUACAUCGUUUCGCUAUUAUUUUCACACAAUCCUUGAACUUGUUAUUCAAGGCCCAUAUUUAACAUCAUUUUGACGUACCAUGCCAGCGUUGUUUGCAUGUCAUGGUGUUGCUGCGUUAGCUUUGCUGUAUGAAGGCACAGUAGAUAUAUAUAUAUAUAUAUAUAUAUAUAUAUAUAUAUA